rnacentral:tRNA from 1 species
ACCUUUUUAUUUUUAUAAAAGAAUGAUUUUGAAAAUCAUUAUAGGUAAUUUUAUUUACCAUAAAGUG